rnacentral:rRNA from 1 species
CGGGUGAGUAACACGUGGAUAACCUACCUAUAAGACUGGGAUAACUUCGGGAAACCGGAGCUAAUACCGGAUAAUAUUUUGAACCGCAUGGUUCAAAAGUGAAAGACGGUCUUGCUGUCACUUAUAGAUGGAUCCGCGCUGCAUUAGCUAGUUGGUAAGGUAACGGCUUACCAAGGCAACGAUGCAUAGCCGACCUGAGAGGGUGAUCGGCCACACUGGGAACUGAGACACGGUCCAGACUCCUACGGGAGGCAGCAGCC